rnacentral:lncRNA from 1 species
UCAACCCAAAAGCCAAUUAACAUACUUACAAAAAGAAAAAUUUGGGCAAUCUAAAAAUUCUCACACGCAAAUAGGUCUCGGAAUUUUAUUUAGCACACAAUUGAUGGGUUCAUCUCUCUUAUUUUAACGGGUUAAUUGUUCAAAUUGACUCUGUAAUAUACCUUAUGUCUGAAAAAUGACCCUUAAAAAUACAAAACAUAUAUUCUAGCAUUGUGACUUGAAUUUCUUCUUAUUUUUGACCACCC